CUUUUUAUCGGACAUAGGAUCCGUUAUUUCCUGAAAAUUACCCCAAUAUCAAUAGAGUGGAGUCUAAUAACGGAUCCUAUGUCCGAUACCUUU
rnacentral:sRNA from 1 species